CACGUAGGGUGCGAGCGUUGUCCGGAAUUAUUGGGCGUAAAGAGCUCGUAGGCGGUGUGUCGCGUCGGCCGUGAAAACCCACGGCUCAACUGUGGGCUUGCAUUCGAUAACGGGCAGGCUAGAGUUCGGUAGGGGAGACGUGGAAUUCCUGGUGUAGCGGUGAAAUGACGGCAGACUAUCAGGAGGAACACCGGUGGCGAAGGCGGGUCUCUGGGCCGAUACUGACGCUGGAGGAGCGAAAGCGUGGGGAGCGAACAGGA
rnacentral:rRNA from 1 species